UCUUUACUGACAAUUCCUCAGGAGAGAGGGGAGUCGUUCUAAAUAAUUGUGAGUUGAGGUUGCCUCAUUUUUUUCGGAGUCCUUUUUCAUUCCAAGCGUCUAGCUGCAGCACCUGUAGAGAGAAGAUGACUCUGAUGGAGACUGAUGGAGAAGGGACCUGGCAUGCAUCCUUUUUUUGAACCUCUUCUUUUUGGAUAGGGGUUCCAGCUGUCUGCUGCCCACCUCCACCUACGACUACCCUGGCCAACAUGGUAUCUGAAGUGAAGUCCUCCUCCCUGCCGGCUGCUCAUAUGGACACAGCCUUUCAGAACUCCAAGCACGGUUUGGUCCAAAUGUUAAAGUGGCUCCAGGUAUGGAUGAACAUAUGCCAUCGGAGAUGGAGGAGGAAGGCCUCACCUGGACAUGUUUAUUGGUGCUGAGUUUUGAAGGAAAGUCCCCAGGAGGCAAUUUCAGGUACACACAGAAGAAAGAAUAUGAUCGAGGCAGAAUCACAAGUCACACUGUCAAUGCUCUUGGGUGCAAAAAUGUCUCAUGCAAAUCUCUUUGACCUGAAGUAACUGAAGGCGCCUUCAAAACAGGAGCCUAUUGCUUACUCAGCAGAUCCGCAAUGAACACCACUCACCACAUCUUGUUCUCCCGGACUCCAAAUCACCAGGGUUUAAUUAGACACUUCUGAAACUAAGUCUGGCUUCUGCGAACCCAUCAUGGAUGAACUGAGCCACAGUGAUGCAACGGGAUUAGCGUUUGUCUUUGUGGUUUACACAGGUAAAGAAGGUAACUAAAGUCCGAGCGUUCCACUCUUGUGACGUGAAGACUAUGGCUGCUGCGUGGUUCUGACCUAGG